UACUGCUGGUCAGGGGUCUGGAGUACAACAAGGCGACAAUAACUCUGGAAUUCAAGUUAUCAGCAGUGAUGAAGAAGAUGAUGGAGACCUGGAGAGACCAACGUUUCGGAUAACAAUAGAUGACUACAGAGGUAAGUAGAAAAUUUUACAACAUGCAUGCUAAAUAUAGCUAGUCUUGUGUGUAUUUGUAUGAAGG